rnacentral:rRNA from 1 species
UAGGGAAUAUUGCAAAAUGGGCGAAAGCCCGAUGCAGCAACGCCGCGUGGGCGAUGAAGGCCUUCGGGUCGUAAAGCCCUUUUUGAGGGGAUGAGGAAGGACAGUACCCUCAGAAUAAGCCUCGGCUAACUACGUGCCAGCAGCCGCGGUAAAACGUAGGAGGCGAGCGUUAUCCGGAUUUACUGGGCGUAAAGCGCGUGCAGGCGGAUUGGAGAGUUGGAUGUGAAAGCUCCCGGCUUAACUGGGAGAGGUCGUUCAAUACUUCCAGUCUUGAGUGCAGUAGAGUGAAGUGGAAUUCCGUGUGUCGUGGUGAAAUGCGUAGAGAUCCGGAGGAACACCAGAGGCGAAGGCGGCACUCUAAGCCGUACCUGACACUGAGACGCGACAGCACGGG